AGAGUUUGAUCAUGGCUCAGGAUGAACGCUGACAGAAUGCUUAACACAUGCAAGUCUACUUGAAAGUUCUUCGGAAUGAUUAGGGUGGCGGACGGGUGAGUAACGCGUAAAGAACUUGCCUCAUAGCCUGGGACAACAGUUGGAAACGACUGCUAAUACCGGAUAUUAUGUUUCUUUGGCAUCUUAGAUUCAUGAAAGCUAUAUGCGCUAUGAGAGAGCUUUGCGUCCUAUUAGCUUGUUGGUGAGGUAACGGCUCACCAAGGCGACGAUAGGUAGCCGGCCUGAGAGGGUGAACGGCCACAAGGGGACUGAGACACGGCCCUUACUCCUACGGGAGGCAGCAGUGGGGAAUAUUGGACAAUGGACCAAAAGUCUGAUCCAGCAAUUCUGUGUGCACGAUGAAGGUCUUCGGAUUGUAAAGUGCUUUCAGUAGGGAAGAAGUAAGUGACGGUACCUACAGAAGAAGCGACGGCUAAAUACGUGCCAGCAGCCGCGGUAAUACGUAUGUCGCAAGCGUUAUCCGGAAUUAUUGGGCAUAAAGGGCGUCUAGGUGGUUUACUAAGUCUGAUGUUAAAAUGCGGGGCUCAACUCCGUAUUGCGUUGGAAACUGGUUUACUAGAGUCUUGGAGAGGUGGGCGGAACUACAAGUGUAGAGGUGAAAUUCGUAGAUAUUUGUAGGAAUGCCGAUGACGAAGGUAGCUCACUGGACAAGUACUGACACUAAAGCGCGAAAGCUAGGGGAGCAAACAGGAUUAGAUACCCUAGUAGUCC
rnacentral:rRNA from 1 species